rnacentral:antisense_RNA from 1 species
CUUCAGGGUCCCCAGCCGGACGGGCCGCUGCGGGGUGUGCUCCUGACCGUAGGUCGCGAGCAGCGCCUGCGCCUC